AUACAGGGUCAGUUCCAGUACCAUAUUAUAAUGUACAGGGAUACUGGAUCUAUAGAGGUAGAUAUGUAUAGGGGUAAACAUACUAUAUACAGGGUCAGUACCAUAUUAUAAUGUACAGGGAUACUGGAUCUAUAGAGGUAGAUAUGUAUAGGGGUAAACAUACUAUAUACAGGGUCAGUACCAUAUUAUAAUGUACAGGGAUACUGGAUCUAUAGAGGUAGAUAUGUAUAGGGGUAAACAUACUAUAUACAGGGUCAGUACCAUAUUAUAAUGUACAGGGAUACUGGAUCUAUAGAGGUAGAUAUGUAUAGGGGUAAACAUACUAUAUACAGGGUCAGUACCAUAUUAUAAUGUACAGGGAUACUGGAUCUAUAGAGGUAGAUAUGUAUAGGGGUAAACAUACUAUAUACAGGGUCAGUACCAUAUUAUAAUGUACAGGGAUACUGGAUCUAUAGAG
rnacentral:lncRNA from 1 species